rnacentral:rRNA from 1 species
CCUACGGGAGGCAGCAGUGAGGAAUAUUGGUCAAUGGGCUUACGCCUGAACCAGCCAAGUCGCGUGAGGGAAGACUGCCCUAUGGGUUGUAAACCUCUUUUGUCAGGGAGCAACGCCGGCUACGUGUAGCCGGACUGAGAGUACCUGAAGAAAAAGCAUCGGCUAACUCCGUGCCAGCAGCCGCGGUAAUACGGAGGAUGCGAGCGUAAUCCGGAUUUAUUGGGUUUAAAGGGUGCGUAGGCGGAAUGCCAAGUCAGCGGUAAAAUCGCGGGGCUCAACCUCGCUCCGCCGUUGAAACUGGCGGUCUUGAGUGGGCGAGAAGUAUGCGGAAUGCGUGGUGUAGCGGUGAAAUGCAUAGAUAUCACGCAGAACUCCGAUUGCGAAGGCAGCAUACCGGCGCCCAACUGACGCUGAAGCACGAAAGCGUGGGUAUCGAACAGGAUUAGAUACCCCUGUAGUC